rnacentral:rRNA from 1 species
UACGUAGGGGGCAAGCGUUGUCCGGAUUUAUUGGGCGUAAAGAGCGUGUAGGCGGCCUGACAGGUCAGCUGUGAAAACUCGAGGCUCAACCUCGAGACGUCGGUUGAAACCGUCUGGCUAGAGUCCGGAAGAGGAGUGUGGAAUUCCCGGUGUAGCGGUGAAAUGCGCAGAUAUCGGGAAGAACACCCGUGGCGAAGGCGGCACUCUGGGACGGUACUGACGCUGAGGCGCGAAAGCUAGGGGAGCAAACAGG